GUCCACGCUGUAAACGAUGAAUGCUAGGUGUGGGGCCAAAAGGCUUCCGUGCCGCAGUUAACACAAUAAGCAUUCCACCUGGGGAGUACGGCCGCAAGGUUGAAACUCAAAGGAAUUGACGGGAGCCCGCACAAGCAGUGGAGUAUGUGGUUUAAUUCGACGCAACGCGAAGAACCUUACCGGAGCUUGACAUCCCUCUGACGUACCGAGUAAUGUUGGUAUUCCCUUCGGGGCAGAGGAGACAGGUGGUGCAUGGUUGUCGU
rnacentral:rRNA from 1 species